rnacentral:miRNA from 1 species
AGUUUUGGAUCACAACUGUGCU